rnacentral:rRNA from 1 species
GGGUUGUGAGGUUAAGCGACUAAGCGUACACGGUGGAUGCCCUGGCAGUCAGAGGCGAUGAAGGACGUGCUAAUCUGCGAUAAGCGUCGGUGAGGUGAUAUGAACCGUUAUAACCGGCGAUUUCCGAAUGGGGAAACCCAGUGUGUUUCGACACACUAUCAUUAACUGAAUCCAUAGGUUAAUGAGGCGAACCGGGGGAACUGAAACAUCUAAGUACCCCGAGGAAAAGAAAUCAACCGAGAUUCCCCCAGUAGCGGCGAGCGAACGGGGAGGAGCCCAGAGCCUGAAUCAGUGUGUGUGUUAGUGGAAGCGUCUGGAAAGGCGUGCGAUACAGGGUGACAGCCCCGUACACAAAAAUGCACAUAUUGUGAGCUCGAUGAGUAGGGCGGGACACGUGGUAUCCUGUCUGAAUAUGGGGGGACCAUCCUCCAAGGCUAAAUACUCCUGACUGACCGAUAGUGAACCAGUACCGUGAGGGAAAGGCGAAAAGAACCCCGGCGAGGGGAGUGAAAAAGAACCUGAAACCGUGUACGUACAAGCAGUGGGAGCCUCUUAAUGGGGUGACUGCGUACCUUUUGUAUAAUGGGUCAGCGACUUAUAUUCUGUAGCAAGGUUAACCGAAUAGGGGAGCCGAAGGGAAACCGAGUCUUAACUGGGCGUUAAGUUGCAGGGUAUAGACCCGAAACCCGGUGAUCUAGCCAUGGGCAGGUUGAAGGUUGGGUAACACUAACUGGAGGACCGAACCGACUAAUGUUGAAAAAUUAGCGGAUGACUUGUGGCUGGGGGUGAAAGGCCAAUCAAACCGGGAGAUAGCUGGUUCUCCCCGAAAGCUAUUUAGGUAGCGCCUCGUGAAUUCAUCUCCGGGGGUAGAGCACUGUUUCGGCAAGGGGGUCAUCCCGACUUACCAACCCGAUGCAAACUGCGAAUACCGGAGAAUGUUAUCACGGGAGACACACGGCGGGUGCUAACGUCCGUCGUGAAGAGGGAAACAACCCAGACCGCCAGCUAAGGUCCCAAAGUCAUGGUUAAGUGGGAAACGAUGUGGGAAGGCCCAGACAGCCAGGAUGUUGGCUUAGAAGCAGCCAUCAUUUAAAGAAAGCGUAAUAGCUCACUGGUCGAGUCGGCCUGCGCGGAAGAUGUAACGGGGCUAAACCAUGCACCGAAGCUGCGGCAGCGACACUAUGUGUUGUUGGGUAGGGGAGCGUUCUGUAAGCCUGUGAAGGUGGCCUGUGAGGGUUGCUGGAGGUAUCAGAAGUGCGAAUGCUGACAUAAGUAACGAUAAAGCGGGUGAAAAGCCCGCUCGCCGGAAGACCAAGGGUUCCUGUCCAACGUUAAUCGGGGCAGGGUGAGUCGACCCCUAAGGCGAGGCCGAAAGGCGUAGUCGAUGGGAAACAGGUUAAUAUUCCUGUACUUGGUGUUACUGCGAAGGGGGGACGGAGAAGGCUAUGUUGGCCGGGCGACGGUUGUCCCGGUUUAAGCGUGUAGGCUGGUUUUCCAGGCAAAUCCGGAAAACCAAGGCUGAGGCGUGAUGACGAGGCACUACGGUGCUGAAGCAACAAAUGCCCUGCUUCCAGGAAAAGCCUCUAAGCAUCAGGUAACAUCAAAUCGUACCCCAAACCGACACAGGUGGUCAGGUAGAGAAUACCAAGGCGCUUGAGAGAACUCGGGUGAAGGAACUAGGCAAAAUGGUGCCGUAACUUCGGGAGAAGGCACGCUGAUAUGUAGGUGAAGCGACUUGCUCGUGGAGCUGAAAUCAGUCGAAGAUACCAGCUGGCUGCAACUGUUUAUUAAAAACACAGCACUGUGCAAACACGAAAGUGGACGUAUACGGUGUGACGCCUGCCCGGUGCCGGAAGGUUAAUUGAUGGGGUUAGCGGUAACGCGAAGCUCUUGAUCGAAGCCCCGGUAAACGGCGGCCGUAACUAUAACGGUCCUAAGGUAGCGAAAUUCCUUGUCGGGUAAGUUCCGACCUGCACGAAUGGCGUAAUGAUGGCCAGGCUGUCUCCACCCGAGACUCAGUGAAAUUGAACUCGCUGUGAAGAUGCAGUGUACCCGCGGCAAGACGGAAAGACCCCGUGAACCUUUACUAUAGCUUGACACUGAACAUUGAGCCUUGAUGUGUAGGAUAGGUGGGAGGCUUUGAAGUGUGGACGCCAGUCUGCAUGGAGCCGACCUUGAAAUACCACCCUUUAAUGUUUGAUGUUCUAACGUUGGCCCGUAAUCCGGGUUGCGGACAGUGUCUGGUGGGUAGUUUGACUGGGGCGGUCUCCUCCUAAAGAGUAACGGAGGAGCACGAAGGUUGGCUAAUCCUGGUCGGACAUCAGGAGGUUAGUGCAAUGGCAUAAGCCAGCUUGACUGCGAGCGUGACGGCGCGAGCAGGUGCGAAAGCAGGUCAUAGUGAUCCGGUGGUUCUGAAUGGAAGGGCCAUCGCUCAACGGAUAAAAGGUACUCCGGGGAUAACAGGCUGAUACCGCCCAAGAGUUCAUAUCGACGGCGGUGUUUGGCACCUCGAUGUCGGCUCAUCACAUCCUGGGGCUGAAGUAGGUCCCAAGGGUAUGGCUGUUCGCCAUUUAAAGUGGUACGCGAGCUGGGUUUAGAACGUCGUGAGACAGUUCGGUCCCUAUCUGCCGUGGGCGCUGGAGAACUGAGGGGGGCUGCUCCUAGUACGAGAGGACCGGAGUGGACGCAUCACUGGUGUUCGGGUUGUCAUGCCAAUGGCACUGCCCGGUAGCUAAAUGCGGAAGAGAUAAGUGCUGAAAGCAUCUAAGCACGAAACUUGCCCCGAGAUGAGUUCUCCCUGAGACUUAGAGUCUCCUGAAGGAACGUUGAAGACGACGACGUUGAUAGGCCGGGUGUGUAAGCGCAGCGAUGCGUUGAGCUAACCGGUACUAAUGAACCGUGAGGCUUAACCUUACAACGCCGAAG